AUGGGUGCGAAGGGCAGCAAGCCUUCGACUCCCAUGGGACGGGUACCCUCAGUACCUCAGAAUACCCCUCUAGGUUAUAUCUUAAUCAAUUGGAAACACUUCCAAGGAACAGCACAGAAAGAUAAGAGAAAAAUGAUAAUAUAUUGUACUAAGAUAUGGGGAGGGAAGAAAAUCUUACCCGAUGUCAUCUGGCCGGUCUAUGGGUCAGAAGAAGACUGGGUAAGGCAACAGUUAAAUCUUUGGGUUAAUAAUAAAAAGCUCCUUAACUCAGAGGAAAGCCAAUAUGCGGAAGGGCCCAAGAGUAGGAACUCAAAGCAGGACCCCCUGGGAAAAAGACAGUCUGUACUAGGCAGCUGCGGCUUUCAGGGUAGAAGGAAUCGUACUAGGGACACAUCUAUCGCAGAAAAAGAGGAACCUCUGAAUGAGGUUAAAAAUAGUAAAAAAGAGGAACCUCAGAAAGAGAUUGGAAAUAGUUCUCUGGAGAAAAGAAGAUUAGUAAAAAGCGGCUUUGAGGCUAGGUCGCUGGGGAUUCCCCCUGAUAGUCCCUUGGGAAAACUCCUAAAAAACUGGAGUUGUUAUUCCAGCACUUAUAGAAGAUCAAGGGAGAAAAUGGUUUACUAUUGUAUUGAAGUGUGGGGAGGUAGAAAAAUAGGAGAUAACACCUACUGGCCCAUGUACGGUACUUUUGAGAAUUGGGUCUGUGAACUUUUAAAUUGGUAUGUUAGCGAUAAAAGACCCUUUUGCCCAGAGGAGAGUUUUUAUGCCGUUAUAUGGUUAGAAGCCAGUGAAAAUACCCACCUGUUCCCUUUAAGGGAAAGAAGGAGGCAAAUGGACUCUGUUAAAGAUUCAGAGUCAUGGAGCUCCCCUCCACCUUAUCCAUCAGAUGCAGAACCAGAUUCUCCCCCUAGACGAAGAACCAAAAGUCAAAGAGGGACCACCCGAAUGUAUCCUUUAAGAGAAGUACCCAUGGAGGGAGCCCAAGCUACCAUAGGGUAUAUAUCAGUCCCCUGA
rnacentral:lncRNA from 1 species